UCCACGCCGUAAACGAUGGAUACUCGUUCUUGGCAAUACACAGUCAGGGACUGAGCGAAAGCAUUAAGUAUCCCACCUGGGGGAGUACGUUCGCAAGAAUGAAACUCAAAGGAAUUGACGGGGGCCCGCACAAGCGGAGGAACAUGUGGUUUAAUUCGAUGCAACGCGAAGAACCUUACCCGGACUUGACAUCCUUUUGCAAUUUUAUAGAGAUAUAGAACCUCUCUUCGGAG
rnacentral:rRNA from 1 species